GCUUUUGGCGAGGUGCCUUCCGAGUUCCCUGGAACGGGACGCCAUAGAGGGUGAGAGCCCCGUACGGUAGGACCACCGAGCCUUUGUAAAGCUCCUUCGACGAGUCGAGUAGUUUGGGAAUGCUGCUCUAAAUGGGAGGUGUACGUCUUCUAAAGCUAAAUACCGGCCAGAGACCGAUAGCGCACAAGUAGAGUGAUCGAAAGAUGAAAAGCACUUUGAAAAGAGGGUUAAAAAGUACGUGAAAUUGUUGAAAGGGAAGCGUUUAUGACCAGACUUGGGCUUGGUUAAUCAUCUGGGGUUCUCUCCAGUGCACUUUUCCAGUCCAGGCGGCCAGCAUCAGUUUGGCCCGGGGGACAAAGGCGGUGGGAAUGUGGCUCUCUCCGGGGAGUGUUAUAGCCCGCCGUGUAAUGCCCUGGGGCGGACUGAGGAACGCGCUUCGGCUCGGAUGCUGGCGUAAUGGUCAUCAAUGACCCGUCUUGAAACACGGACCAAGGAGUCGUCUUCGUAUGCGAGUGUUCGGGUGUCAAACCCCUACGCGAAAUGAAAGUGAACGUAGGUGAGAGCUUCGGCGCAUCACCGACCGAUCCUGAUGUUCUCGGACGGAUUUGAGUAAGAGCAUACGGGGCCGGACCCGAAAGAAGGUGAACUAUGCCUGUAUAGGGUG
rnacentral:ncRNA from 1 species